GUAUCCUCGCUGUUGCCAAAUUUUUAUAACCGUUUUUUAUUCAUUAUUUUUUUGUCAUUCAUAAGAUCUGAAAUCCCUCUACUCGGAUUAUUUUGGGAGAACACCUAUCAACUCAAAAAACAGAUUUUUCGAGAGAUACUGACAUUGAUUAUUCAGACGUGGAAAAAUGUGACACAAGUGCAACGACAGCACUGUGGGACCACGUUCUUCUCGCACAAAAAGGACAUGCGCGGUGUUUAGUUGAUACGGGGUUCGCACAUCUAAAGAUUAAAUUCCGGUGGCAUGAUUUAGAAACACUUCAACAGCUGGCCCAUGUUAAAGAGAUGUCAUCUACAACCAACAGCCUGUAUGUUACCCCAAGUUGUCAUGGCGACAAUGGAAACCCGUUCUAGAGGGAUUUUUCAAACCAAUUAUUGGUUUAAGAAAAUUUCCGGUUCCAGUCGAACACACCGGGUGUGGUUAUGGGCAAACUAACACCUGAAGGCUAGGAAUAUUUGAUUCAACUCUUGAAAGAACACGGAUUCCGGUUCAGUUCAUGUGUCCGUCCAAGCGUUAUUACGCAUAGGGAAUGCCAGCAGUGUCGCGAAGUGUGCGUGUGUUCGUCUGUCAAGACAGUUAAUCAUAUUAUCAGUGAUUAAGGUGCACGGUUAUAACAGCUAAGUGCAGAUUUAAAUAUCCAGAACUGUUGUUGUUUGUUGUUAAAAUAUACGGCCAUUGUUUGUGUUAUAAAUAAACUGUUAUAAAGAAUAAGAGCACUUUCUUAUUUAACUAUGUUUUUUUUCAUAAGUAUUAAACGUUAAACGUUGACUUAUAUACUUUUGUUGAUUUAUUUCUUUUGGUAUUUACCUAAAAAUUUGUCUCAUUUCAAUCUAUGUGACCCGGGCAUACUAAAACCCACCAACACACCUGUACCUUCCCGUUCAAUAUAUAUUUGUUUUUCAAGCAGUAUAUAGUAUGAAAAAUUCCCGUAAAGAUGAUGAAUAUUUUUGUCCACAUUAAAGGUAUAUAGUGUUGUAAUGGUUGAAAAAACAAUUAUUUGCGCCAUGUAUGACUCGCUUAUGGGCGUUGUUAUAUAACGUUGCUAAGCAACGCUAAAAUCGAAAUAAGUGGGAAGUCUAUAGUUUAAAUAACUUAAUUAUUAACUUCUUUACAGCUUAAACAUACUGAUGCAGUGAACUUAAGAUUUAAAUAUUAUUGCCGUUUUAAUUUUCCAAUUAACAACGUUAAACGUCAAAAUUUAAUUUUUCGACGUCAUUUGCUAACAAAGUGAUCAAAUAUAUAACGUUCGUUAAAUUGGUAUAUCUAAAUAACUAACCCUUUGAUUUGAAAACGGUUUUCACCGUCAUAUUCAGAAAGAAAUUCUCUACAAUAAUAUGUGAAAAACCAAAUUUCGAAAAAAAUGUCAUUAAGACCGGUUUUCUCGCGUCGUGCCUCAUAUUU